AUUGAACGCUGGCGGCAGGCCUAAUACAUGCAAGUCGAGCGAACAGAUGAGAAGCUUGCUUCUCUGAUGUUAGCGGCGGACGGGUGAGUAACACGUGGGUAACCUACCUAUAAGACUGGGAUAACUCCGGGAAACCGGGGCUAAUACCGGCUAAUAUUUUGAACCGCAUGGUUCAAUAGUGAAAGACGGUUUCGGCUGUCACUCAUAGAUGGACCCGCGCCGUAUUAGCUAGUUGGUAAGGUAACGGCUUACCAAGGCGACGAUACGUAGCCGACCUGAGAGGGUGAUCGGCCACACUGGAACUGAGACACGGUCCAGACUCCUACGGGAGGCAGCAGUAGGGAAUCUUCCGCAAUGGGCGAAAGCCUGACGGAGCAACGCCGCGUGAGUGAUGAAGGUCUUCGGAUCGUAAAACUCUGUUGUUAGGGAAGAACAAAUUUGUUAGUAACUGAACAAGUCUUGACGGUACCUAACCAGAAAGCCACGGCUAACUACGUGCCAGCCGCCGCGGUAA
rnacentral:rRNA from 1 species